CACGCCGUAAACGGGGGGCGCUAGGUGUGGGGAGCAUUCCACGUUCUCCGCGCCGCAGCUAACGCAUUAAGCGCCCCGCCUGGGGAGUACGGCCGCAAGGCUAAAACUCAAAGGAAUUGACGGGGGCCCGCACAAGCGGCGGAGCAUGCGGCUUAAUUCGAUGCAACGCGAAGAACCUUACCUAGGCUUGACAGUUGGGGAAAUCUGGCAGAGAUGUCAGGUCCGCAAGGGCCCCAAAACAGGUGG
rnacentral:rRNA from 1 species